rnacentral:rRNA from 1 species
GAUGAACGCUGGCGGCGUGCCUAACACAUGCAAGUCGAGCGAUCUUCUUCGGAAGAGAGCGGCGGACGGGUGAGUAACGCGUGGGUAACCUGCCCUGUACACACAGAUAACAUACCGAAAGGUAUGCUAAUACGGGAUAAUAUGCUUUUAUCGCAUGGUAGAAGUAUCAAAGCUCCGGCGGUACAGGAUGGACCCGCGUCUGAUUAGCUAGUUGGUAAGGUAACGGCUUACCAAGGCGACGAUCAGUAGCCGACCUGAGAGGGUGAUCGGCCACAGUGGAACUGAGACACGGUCCAAACUCCUACGGGAGGCAGCAGUGGGGAAUAUUGCACAAUGGGCGAAAGCCUGAUGCAGCAACGCCGCGUGAGCGAUGAAGGCCUUCGGGUCGUAAAGCUCUGUCCUCAAGGAAGAUAAUGACGGUACUUGAGGAGGAAGCCCCGGCUAACUACGUGCCAGCCGCCGCGGUAA